GACAGAGGGUGCGAACGUUGUUCGGAAUUACUGGGCGUAAAGCGUGUGUAGGCGGCAAUGCAAGUCGGGCGUGAAAUCCCACGGCUCAACCGUGGAAGUGCACUCGAAACUGCAUAGCUAGAGUCCUGGAGAGGAAGGUGGAAUGCUUGGUGUAGAGGUGAAAUUCGUAGAUAUCAAGCGGAACACCGGUGGCGAAGGCGGCCUUCUGGACAGUGACUGACGCUGAGACACGAAAGCGUGGGGAGCAAACGGG
rnacentral:rRNA from 1 species